UACGUAGGGACCAAGCGUUGUUCGGCUUUACUGGGCGUAAAGGGCGCGUAGGCGGCGUGUCAAGUCACUUGUGAAAUCUCCGGGCUUAACCCGGAACUGCCAAGUGAUACUGUCGUGCUAGAGUGCGGAAGGGGCAAUCGGAAUUCUCGGUGUAGCGGUGAAAUGCGUAGAUAUCGAGAGGAACACCUGAGGUGAAGACGGGUUGCUGGGCCGACACUGACGCUGAGUGCGCGAAAGCCAGGGGAGCAAACGGG
rnacentral:rRNA from 1 species